UGGGGCAGGCUUACACAUGCAAGUCGAGCGGGCGUAGCAAUACGUCAGCGGCAGACGGGUGAGUAACGCGUGGGAACGUACCUUUUGGUUCGGGAUAGCUCAGGGAAACUUGAAUUAAUACCGGAUAAGCCCUUACGGGGAAAGAUUUAUCGCCGAAAGAUCGGCCGGUCUGAUUAGCUAGUUGGUGAGGUAACGGUCACCAAGGCGACGAUCAGUAGCUGGUCUGAGAGGAUGAUCAGCACAUUGGGACUGAGAACACGGCCAAAUCCUACGGGAGGCAAGCAGUGGGGAAUAUUUGGACCAUGGGCGCAAAGCCUGAUCCAGCCAUGCCGCGUGAGUGAUGAAGGCCCUAGGGUUGUAAAGCUCUUUUGUGCGGGAAGAUAAUGACGGUACCGCAAGAAUAAGCCCCGGCUAACUUCGUGCCAGCAGCCGCGGUAAUACGAAGGGGGCUAGCGUUGCUCGGAAUCACUGGGCGUAAAGGGUGCGUAGGCGGGUCUUUAAGUCAGGGGUGAAAUCCUGGAGCUCAAUCCAGAAUGCUUUGAUAUGAGGAUCUUGAGUUCGGGAGAGGUGAGUGGAAUGGAGUGUAGAGGUGAAAUUCGUAGAUAUUCGCAAGGAACACCAGUGGCGAAGGCGGUUCACUUGGCCCGAUACUUGACGCUGAGGCACGAAAGCGUGGGGAGCAAACCAGGAUUACGAUACCCUGGUAAGUCCACGGCCGUAAAACGGAUGAAUGGCC
rnacentral:rRNA from 1 species